rnacentral:tRNA from 1 species
AAGGUCCUAGCUUAAUUAAAGCGUCCGGGUUGCAUUUGGGAGAUGCAGGGUAGUAUCCUGCGGACUUUA